AACGAACGCUGGCGGCAUGCCUAACACAUGCAAGUCGAACGAGACCUUCGGGUCUAGUGGCGCACGGGUGCGUAACGCGUGGGAACCUGCCCUUAGGUUCGGAAUAACUCCCCGAAAGGGGUGCUAAUACCGGAUAAUGUCUUCGGACCAAAGAUUUAUCGCCUUUGGAUGGGCCCGCGUUGGAUUAGCUAGUUGGUAGGGUAAAAGCCUACCAAGGCGACGAUCCAUAGCUGGUCUGAGAGGAUGAUCAGCCACACUGGGACUGAGACACGGCCCAGACUCCUACGGGGGGCAGCAGGGGGGAAAUUUGGACAAGGGGCGAAAGCCUGAUCCGGCAAUGCCGGGUGGGUGAUGAAGGCCUUAGGGUUGUAAAGCUCUUUUCCCCGGGAUGAAAAUGACAGUACCGGGAAAAAAAGCCCCGGCUAACCCCGU
rnacentral:rRNA from 1 species